rfam:Schistosoma rodhaini strain Burundi genome assembly, scaffold: SROB_scaffold0002222
AUCCAGCUGACGAGUCCCAAAGAAGACGAAACGCGCGUCCUGGAU